AUGGCGCUGCCGGCGGCUCCGACAGGGAGGGGUGGCGACGACGGCUCCGGCGAGUAUGGGUGGCGGCGACGGAGAUUACCGGCUCGAGAGGAAUGCCGCUGGCGACACAACAGUGUUGGGGGAGGGCGCCGACGGCUCAGGUAUCCUCCGGGGUGCUUGGAGCAGGAAGGGGGCCUCGCCGGCGUCUUGGGGGUGAGCCCCGGCGACUGGCGCGGUGGCCGGCGUUUCCGACCUGGGAGCGCCGGGGUCGAGCAGGCCCGGCGGGCGGCGGCGUGCGCACGCGCGCACCUAGGAGACGCAGGCGCGGAGGUCGGAGAGGAGGCCGCCCGCCGCGGCGGCACGUCGGAGGCCCGGUCGAGGCCGUCGGCGAUUUUGGGGGAUUUGCACAGGGGCAAAAAUUUCCUCCCUGUCCCUGACAACAGCAAAGAUGAGCAAGGGCAUCCACUCUCACAUUCCUCCUCACCACCAAGAACGCAAGAACGCAGCGAGAGAGGAGGAGAUUCAAGAACCGGAGGAAUUGAUGUCGUCUUCGGCCGUGAUUCCGCCGCCGUCGCCGGAGAGGAGGGUGCCGAUGGUGGCUGUGCCGGUGGUGUCCGACGACGGAGGUGGAGGACAUGGGACGAGAUGGUGGUGUCCGACUCCAUUCACUACUUCAUCCGCCACAUGUGCCGCAACGCCGCCGCCCGGGGCUCGUCAGCCUUCUCUGCCGCGUCAUCGGCGUCUUCCUCUGUUGCGCCAGUGUUUCCCGUCGUGGUGUGUCCCGCGUCGGCGGAGCACGCGGCGGAGAUGGAGCGGCUCAUCUCGCAGCUGCCGCUCUUCACGCUGGCGUCGUCGCUAGCGGUGCUCCCGAAGUCGUCCCGCGCCCGCUGCCGCCAUCCCCUACUUCUCCGCGCCGUUUCCGGCGAGAAAGGUGACUGUCGCCGUCGAACAGAGGGGUAAAGAUGGAAAC
rnacentral:lncRNA from 1 species